rnacentral:rRNA from 1 species
CGGCAUGCCUAACACAUGCAAGUCGAACGGAGUAAUGACUCGGUUAUACUAGUGGCGAACGGGUGAGUAACACGUGAAUAAUCUGCCCUGUACGAUGGGAUAACAGCUGGAAACGGCUGCUAAUACCGUAUAUGACCACGCCGAGGCAUCUCGGAGGGGUGAAAGCGCUUAAGCGGUACAGGAUGAGUUCGCGUCCAAUUAGCUAGUUGGUGAGGUAAGGCCCACCAAGGCGACGAUUGGUAGCCGACCUGAGAGGGUGAUCGGCCACACUGGAACUGAGACACGGUCCAGACUCCUACGGGAGGCAGCAGUGGGGAAUAUUGGGCAAUGGAGGAAACUUCCUUACCCAGCAAUGCCGCGUGAGUGAUGAAGGUCUUCGGAUUGUAAAGCUCUUUGAUUGGGGACGAAUAAAUGACGGUACCCAAGGAACAAGCCCCGGCUAACUAUGUGCCAGCCGCCGC